rnacentral:rRNA from 1 species
GACGAACGCGGCGGCGUGCUUAACACAUGCAAGUCGAACGGAAAGGCCCUGCUUUUGUGGGGUGCUCGAGUGGCGAACGGGUGAGUAACACGUGAGUAACCUGCCCUUGACUUUGGGAUAACUUCAGGAAACUGGGGCUAAUACCGGAUAGGAGCUCCUGCUGCAUGGUGGGGGUUGGAAAGUUUCGGCGGUUGGGGAUGGACUCGCGGCUUAUCAGCUUGUUGGUGGGGUAGUGGCUUACCAAGGCUUUGACGGGUAGCCGGCCUGAGAGGGUGACCGGCCACAUUGGGACUGAGAUACGGCCCAGACUCCUACGGGAGGCAGCAGUGGGGAAUAUUUGCACAAAUGGGGCGGAAAGCCCUGAUGCAGCAAACGCCCG